AGAGUUGAUCAUGGCUCAGGACGAACGCUGGCGGCAGGCUAACACAUGCAAGUCGAACGGUUGCAGCAAUGCAGCAGUGGCAGACGGGUGAGUAACACGUGGGAACCUUCCUAGGGGUACGGAACAACUCAGGGAAACUUGAGCUAAUACCGUAUACGUCCGUGAGGAGAAAGAUUUAUCGCCCUUAGACGGGCCCGCGUCGGAUUAGCUAGUUGGUGGGGUAACGGCCUACCAAGGCGACGAUCCGUAGCUGAUCUUAGAGGAUGAUCAGCCACACUGGGACUGAGACACGGCCCAGACUCCUACGGGAGGCAGCAGUGGGGAAUCUUGGACAAUGGGCGCAAGCCUGAUCCCAGCCAUGCCGCGUGAGUGAAGAAGGUCUUCGGAUUGUAAAGCUCUUUUGCCAGGGACGAUAAUGACGGUACCUGGAGAAUAAGCCCCGGCAAACUUCGUGCCAGCCGCCGC
rnacentral:rRNA from 1 species